rnacentral:rRNA from 1 species
UUGACCUCAAAUCAGGUAGGACUACCCGCUGAACUUAAGCAUAUCAAUAAGCGGAGGAAAAGAAACUAACAAGGAUUCCCCUAGUAACUGCGAGUGAAGCGGGAAAAGCUCAAAUUUAAAUCUGGCGGUCUUGCGGCCGUCCGAGUUGUAAUCUGGAGAAGCGUUUAUCCGCGUCGGACCGUGUACAAGUCUCUGGAAGGGAGCGUCGUAGAGGGUGAGAA